UCAGGAUGAACGCUGGCGGCACGCCUAACACAUGCAAGUCGAACGGAGUUAUGGGAGCUUGCUCCUAUAACUAGUGGCGGACGGGUGAGUAACACGUGAGCAACCUGCCUUUCAGAGAGGGAUAGCUUCUGGAAACGGAUGGUAAUACCUCAUAACAUACGGAAUCGGCAUCGUUUCUGUAUCAAAGAUUUAUCGCUGAAAGAUGGGCUCGCGUCUGAUUAGCUAGUUGGUGAGGUAACGGCCCACCAAGGCAACGAUCAGUAGCCGGACUGAGAGGUUGAACGGCCACAUUGGGACUGAGACACGGCCCAGACUCCUACGGGAGGCAGCAGUGGGGAAUAUUGCACAAUGGGCGCAAGCCUGAUGCAGCGAUGCCGCGUGAGGGAAGAAGGUUUUCGGAUUGUAAACCUCUGUCAUCGGGGACGAAAAUGACGGUACCCGAGAAGGAAGCUCCGGCUAACUACGUGCCAGCCGCGGC
rnacentral:rRNA from 1 species